AAGUAGCAGUUCCUCCUGAAGGUCAGAGAUUGCAGCAUCUGAGGGCCUCUUCAAUAGAAGACGUAGUUGAUGAAGACGUUCUGGAGCAGGACCAGAAAGACCACGACCAAGCAGCCUUGAGAUCUUAGGCAGCUUCUCCCUCAGGUCCCUCUCUAUCUCCCCACACAUCCACCAACCACUGGAACACAUCUCCAAAGUUCUGCCGGGCCAGCUCAGCUUCCCCUCAGAAGAAGUGCCGCCACCUGCCAGAUGAAGGAGCCUGUUGAGAGGCAGUUGGCAUCGUGAUUGGACUGUACUUUGGUCUGUUCCAAUCCAGCUUCAGCUCCAGAGACGGCAGGCGGGACGAGUCAACGGAGGCCGGGUGGACGAAGGCAUGCAGCUGAGUACAAUCCAGAAAACAACAGAGGAGGAAUGCAGCGGCCCAGUAUAGCAUUUGACCAAAGAACUACAGACUCUUCACAACCUGCUCAAACUCUUGGUACAGGACCUCACCACACGGGUCAAGAAGGUUUCCAUCUCAUUUCUACUCUGAAGCUCACCUUCUCCUGCUCAAACUGCUGACCAAUGUUUCUGCUGCUCUAAAGUCUGGUCUCCAUAACUUCCUAAAAACUCUCAAAGUCUCUUCUGCUGCAGGUUGCUUUGCAGAACUGUUCCAGAAAACCUCACUAAACUACAUGGAGGGGCCUCAAGAUAGUCGUCCAAAUGAAACCAUACAAAAACCAAACUAGCACAACCCAAACGCUAAAGUCUCCUGCAGCCUACCAGAGAACCUCUGAGAACAGAGAAUCAGGACAGGAACUCUUACCUUCUGGACAACCAACGUUGGUUCACAAACAAGAAUACAGAAUGUGUCUGACCAAAAAUCUCUAAAGACUCACUAUAGCCAAGACAAAGACACAACUCAGCUGCACCAAAUCCACUAAUCAAUGCACGCAUUAGCACCAUGUGCUCACUGUGGCUAAAGAACCACAUUUACCAAGACAACUAUCCAGUACAAAGCCCUAAAACACACCAAGAAACACAUUAAAGACGAUUUUACUGCUGGAAGCUGCAAGCCAAUGCCUUAAAAACAAACUAAAGCAAUGGAGCCAAACCCAGUUCAGUGGUGAAGAGAAACAGAGGAAAUGUUUGCAGCCAAAUAAAGCAGGAAGACACUGAGCUCCUCAGGUGUUCCUGAUAACACCAAGCAGCCACCUGGACAGCCAAUAGGAACACAGCUCACUGGAAGUCCAGAGGGCUGGGUUAGUGAAGGAAAUUUAGUUUAAAGUUGAAGCAGAAAGUUAACAAAGAAAGUUGAAAACCACCUCUGAUACCUGAAAUCUCUGAGUUUUCAAACAAAGAACACCUGAACAUGUCAAACUGGUUCCAUAGUAGAACCAUCA